rnacentral:tRNA from 1 species
GCGGGUGUGGUUCAAUGGUAGAACGUGGCCUUCCCAAGGCUAAAACGAGGGUUCGAUUCCCUUCACCCGCUCCA